rnacentral:rRNA from 1 species
UACGUAGGGGGCAAGCGUUGUCCGGAAUCAUUGGGCGUAAAGCGCGCGUAGGCGGCCCGGUAAGUCCGCUCUGAAAGUCCAGGGCUCAACCCUGGAAAGCGCGUGGAUACUGCCGGGCUAGAAUCCGGAAGAGGCGAGUGGAAUUCCUGGUGUAGCGGUGGAAUGCGCAGAUAUCAGGAGGAACACCAAUAGCGAAGGCAGCGCGCUGGGACGGUAUUGACGCUAAGGCGCGAAAGCGUGGGGAGCGAACAGG